UAAGGAAUAUUGGACAAUGGUCGCAAGACUGAUCCAGCCAUGCCGCGUGCAGGAAGACGGCCCUAUGGGUUGUAAACUGCUUUUGUACCAGAGAAAACCUAUCUACGUGUAGAUAGCUGAUAGUAUGGUAAGAAUAAGCAUCGGCUAACUUCGUGCCAGCAGCCGCGGUAAGACGAAGGAUGCAAGCGUUAUCCGGAUUCAUUGGGUUUAAAGGGUGCGUAGGCGGGCUUGUAAGUCAGUGGUGAAAUCUCGCAGCUUAACUGAGAAACUGCCAUUGAUACUGCAGGCCUAGAGUAUAGAUGACGUUGGCGGAAUAUGACAUGUAGUGGUGAAAUACUGAGAUAUGUCAUAGAACACCGAUUGCGAAGGCAGCUAACGAAACUAUAACUGACGCUGAGGCACGAAAGUGCGGGGAUCAAACA
rnacentral:rRNA from 1 species